CUCCCUCCCUGACUCCCUGACUCCCUGCCUCCGCUGCCUGCCUGCCUGGUUCCCUGCUUCCGCUGCCUACUGCCAACUCCGCCCCGCAAUCAGCUGUGCCCGUUCACGUCAUGCUGCAGCUGCAACAGCAGUCGUUGCUGCAGCGGCAGCAGCUGUUGCUGCAGCGGCAGCAAAUGUUGCUGCUGGCCUUUGUGCGCCGUUUGCCGCCAUCCUGUCGCUCUUGCUCCCUCACUCCCACAACCUCACCAGCAGGUCUUCUGUCCGGCAGAAGUCCAUUGAGUUGAUUCGGGAAUGCCCCUCCUGUGAGUGCAAGGAGAAGUCAGACAGCGAGCGACACAGCGGAGGCGGCGGAGGCUGUCAGGCGCGACGGGGGCGGUGCGGCCCGUGUGCUCGUGUCCCAAGCAGCAGCGGCAGCGGGGCCCGGGCACUCGGUGCCGACAGGGUCACAGCUCGGCCCCUGCAGUGUCUAAACGCACUUUGAACACCCUCCCGAUGCCCAUGGACCGCAGCACGCGGUCGUCUAGCGCGAGCUGUGACAUUUUGCUGCGCGAGAUGCACUGCUCCCUGAGUGUUUCUACUUAUUCUAGAUGUAGGCUGCCUAUGACACGACUCUACAUGAUGGUGGUAGCGCAUACAUGGCCAACGAAAACGAUAUCGCAGUUCAGCCGGUUCAAUAAAUUUGGAACAGCGGUGUUUGUUAUGUGGCAAUGAUAGCGUUAUGUAAGCAGGCACAAAUAAUAGAUUAGAGAUAAAAUGUUGGCAGGAAAUGCACUUGCUGCCACCGUAGGCGCAAUGAGCCGCUGCUGGAGGCACUGCCGCUGGAUGAUAAGCCCCAAAAUCCACUCAUUGCUUAUAACAAUACUGUUAUAAUAUUACAGAUAAGGACUGCCAAUGUAAAGCCUGUUGUGCUGCGUUCCCGCCCUUCGGCUUCUGUCUCACCUUCUCGCACUACGCCACAUCUCCUCCCACUUACCGCAUUCAAGCAGUUAGGCUGAUUUGCGCUCACUUACGGGCCUUCCAGCCAGCGCCCCGGUGCGUCCCACGGGCCCAAAGGGCUGCCCCCAGUGCCCAGAGCAGCCUUGCAAGCUGCAGUAUGUAUAGGCCAUGGUGCCUAACUGACCCACCACCACCACCACCACCACCACCACCACCACCACCACCACCACCAGCACCACGCCAUUGACGUCUUCGCAGU
rnacentral:lncRNA from 1 species